rfam:Pseudoxanthobacter soli DSM 19599 genome assembly, contig: EJ95DRAFT_scaffold00001.1
AGGAUGUGCCCUCUUUGGGCGUUUCCUCCCAGACUUAAGACCGCGCGCUCGUUCGCUGCGGUCUUUUUUUUGCCUGAC